rnacentral:rRNA from 1 species
AGUGAACGCUGGCGGCAGGCCUAACACAUGCAAGUCGAGCGGCAGCGCGGGGGCAACCCUGGCGGCGAGCGGCGGACGGGUGAGGAAUUCGUCGGAAUCUGCCUUUUUGUGGGGGAUAACGUAGGGAAACUUACGCUAAUACCGCAUACGUUCUACGGGAGAAAGUGGGGGACCGCAAGGCCUCACGCAGAAAGAUGAGCCGACGACCGAUUAGCUAGUUGGUGGGGUAAAGGCCCACCAAGGCGACGAUCGGUAGCUGGUCUGAGAGGAUGAUCAGCCACACUGGGACUGAGACACGGCCCAGACUCCUACGGGAGGCAGCAGUGGGGAAUAUUGGACAAUGGGCGCAAGCCUGAUCCAGCCAUGCCGCGUGUGUGAAGAAGGCCUUCGGGUUGUAAAGCACUUUUGUCCGGAAAGAAAUCCCUGGAGCUAAUACCUUCGGGGGAUGACGGUACCGGAAGAAUAAGCACCGGCUAACUUCGUG